rnacentral:lncRNA from 1 species
UCAGUUUUCCGAUUUUCUUUAUUAAGAUAAUUUUUAAUCAUUUUAUUAAUUUUUUUUUCUUGUGAUAUAACAUACGUCGGUUAUCAAUUAAAAUUUAUAUUUUUGAUCCUAAAUAAAUGAAGUGGUAAAGAUAUUUUUUUUUUCCGUCGGACAAUUCUAUCUUUUAUUAUUGUUCAUCUGGAAGAAAAUAUCAAUACCAUCUAGCAAAAUAAUCUGGAACGAAAAGAACUUGUAAAUCUCUACCAAGAAAAGAAAAAAAAAAUUGUUUUGGAAUGAAUCUGUUGCUUUUUCUCACGAUUUCAAAUAUUUCUAACGCGAAAUAUUUUGUGACGUAGUUUGUUUAACAUAUCAGUUUAUUGAAAUCUUCGGAACUUUUGCGUACCGUAUUUUAUAGUUCCCAAAACAUUCUAUUAAAUUAAACUAAAAUGUAUAAAAAUUUAAUCGAUAUAAUACUUGACAUAUAGAAUGUAAACACGUAUUUAUUUUUAUAACGAUCGACUUUCUUGGCUAACUUGAGUUGCAGACAUUAUUGGUUAUAUGUGUUGCGUGAUAAUAGCAUCGUCCUCCCCGAUAUAAAUGCUACGCUGAAUUCCAAUGGAUGGUUCAUUUUCUAUCCAGACACGUUUCUGUUGUGCUUCUUGCAAUUACUGCUUUUUCUGAAUAUCUAAAAAUUGCACAGUAAUAAUAUGUUUAAUUCCAAACGAAACUUUUGCAUACGUUUCAAUUAUAAAGCGUGAUGACAUUAUUCUACUCUUCUCAUAUCGUAAUUUUUAUCGAAGUGAAGCUCCAAGAUUGAUUUUUGCUGUGUUUCUAAGUGUUGAAAAACAAUUUUUUUUUUUUUAAAUACUAAUAUACGUAUAAAAGAAUAUUUAUUCUUUAGAGCGUAUUUUAAAUAUAACGUUAUGCAGAUGCAGCGAAAUAAUUCGAUUUAGGUUUUCUUAAAACUAUCUGAUGAUAAAUCUCUCAUUUAUAUAUAUAUAAAAUAGUAGGAAAUUCAAUUAUAUGGAAUCGUGGUUGUGAAAUGAUCCAGAUAAUCGAAAAGCACACAUAAUGGAAAAAUAAAAACAGAUUUAACCCGAAAAUGCUUUUUUUUCCCUCGUUUAAUUUAACAGUAUUAUAAAUCUCUUUUAAGAUGUAACACGAAAAUUUCACGGGUUAAUAGCUGUAAUAUAGUCAAAUAUUUCUCUACAUUAAUAUAUAAAACAGUUUAAAAUAUAAUAUUAGCCUAUAGGUGGAAUAUAAUGUUGUAUAUAUUAUUGAGUUCUCUUUUUUAAUAUUAUUUUCCAAUCGUCCACCAAUUAUUAAAUGAAAGAAUCAUUCCAGUCCUAUCAUGAGCUGCCCAUCCUAUGGAACAGCCUUUGGUAUCAUAUAGAACAGCAUAUAGAGAACGGGAACGGGAUGCGUCGCGAUCCGCACUGUAGCGAAGCGAAGCACAGUAUCUUUUUUUUUUUUUUGCAUACUUUAGGCCCUUUCCAAUCAGGAAGAUUACUAAGAGGCGGGGCCAGUUCCAACCAUGGGCUGCGCCCACACCCG